UGUUUGAUCCUGGCUCAGGAUGAACGCUAGCGGCAGGCUUAAUACAUGCAAGUCGGACGGCAGCACGGGUAGCAAUACCUGGUGGCGAGUGGCGCACGGGUGCGUAACGCGUAUGCAACCUACCCUUAACUGAGACAUAACCUGGCGAAAGCUGGGCUAAUAUCUCAUGAGGUUAUAGAGGGGCAUCCUGAUAUAAUCAAAGCAGCGAUGUGGUUAAGGAUGGGCAUGCGUCCCAUUAGCUAGUUGGCGAGGUAACGGCUCACCAAGGCGACGAUGGGUAGGGGUUCUGAGAGGAAGGUCCCCCACACUGGUACUGAGACACGGACCAGACUCCUACGGGAGGCAGCAGUAAGGAAUAUUGGGCAAUGGUCGGAAGACUGACCCAGCCAUGCCGCGUGCAGGAAGAAGGCCCUAUGGGUUGUAAACUGCUUUAGCUCAGGGGCUAAACCUACCGAUGCGUUGGUAGCUGAAGUACCUGGAGAAUAAGCAUCGUACUCCUG
rnacentral:rRNA from 1 species